AGAGACAUAAGUCUUUGAGACCAUCGUAGACAUUGUUUGUUCUCCACAAAAGUGGGCGUCUGAGAUAAGUGCGAAAUAAACAAGUUGUAUAGAAGAGGGACACAUCACACAAUAGUUCCACCACCAUUAUAAUUCCUUAGAUGCAAAGAGAAGUACAUAUCACCCAAUAGAGUAGGCACAGGAUUCCCAAUCAAGAAGAUUCUAAUGGCGCUAACAUCAACAAAACUAUCAAUGUUAGGGAACAGAGCUAAACCAUAUAUGAGUAAUAC
rnacentral:lncRNA from 1 species